rfam:Phialocephala scopiformis strain CBS 120377 unplaced genomic scaffold LY89scaffold_17, whole genome shotgun sequence.
GACUUCUUAGUGCAGUGGUAGCAUACCUAUCUCCAAUGUGGAAAAUGGGUGACUUGAGUUCAAAUCUCAAAGAUGUUA